GCAAAGUAAGUUCUUGUAAUUUCAGGAUUUAUUUCUCUUAAGUAGCGUGAGAUUGAGCGCCAAAUUUGUGAGCUUUGUCUACAUCAAGCCAAUAGGGUCUUGUUAUUUAUUUAUUUGUUUUACAUGAAGAAAUGAAGAUGAUAUGCUUUUUUAUUCCCUUAAACAUUUUAAGGCCACCUUUGAACUUGAUUUUCUUUUCUUGGACAAGUUACAGUUUUUGGUGGGGAUGGAGUGCCACGUCUUCGACGUGAAAUUGAAAGGCAUCACCGUGUAUUUAUUGUGCCUCCUAUUGGUCCAAUUGGGGCUCAUGUGACAUUACUCAAUGGUUAAACAUGGGCUCCUGCUGUUGAACAAGCUAUUGGGAAGUUGCUAAAUGCAUUCAUUGUGACAAAUUCGCAGGAUGCUAGUGCUCUUAGAAAAUGUGCAAAGGAGUUAAGAUAUAAUUAUUUUCCGAUUAUUAUACAUAGGUUUUCGAGACCAAGGUUGAUUAUAACAGACCAUUCACUCCCCCAGAUGAACCACCCAGUUGCUCAAUCUCUUUUACAUUCUGAUAAUCCACUGUUUUCAAUGUUU